rnacentral:rRNA from 1 species
AUUGACGCUAUUCACGAAGAACCUUACCUGGUCUUGACAUCCACGGAAGUUUUCAGAGAUGAGAAUGUGCCUUCGGGAACCGUGAGACAGGUGCUGCAUGGCUGUCGUCAGCUCGUGUUGUGAAAUGUUGGGUUAAGUCCC